AGAAAUCGUUUGUUUACUCGUCACUGUCUCUACAACCUUGAUAUACACACCAUACCUUUGUUGUGAUGAUUAAUCUCCGAGAGAUUUGGCCGUAAUAUCAGUUAAAAAUCGAGUAUAACUGGUGAAUUGAGAAGCCACCACAGAUGGAUAUGAAGUUCGUGGGGGUCGCUGACAGUAUACACACUGUGUCACAAGAUUGCCGGUGUUGCGGGCGCGACGCUUCGGCCGACACGACCCGUAGCCGGCGCCUGCGAAAGUGAGAGUGCGGCCGGUUGUGUGGACUCAGCUCAGCGGUGCAUACGCCGCGCGUACGCGCUCCGCUAACACUCAACGUUAAAUCCUUAUAAGCUGUAUUGCUGUGUUGCUUCCAACCGCUCCACUACUACACCUUCCAUCCCCCUUUUUCAUGUUUCACUCUCUCCUCCCUCUUCCUCCUUCCUUUUAUUUUACUCCAGAAAGGUUUCGCGGAUUCUCUAACGAAUAACGACAACACUGCUGAUGAAUAAAUCUGCGCAUGAUCCGUCCAACUACGACAUCUGCCGGUUUUUGAGCGUAAUCAAGUGAGGACGACGGAGGGUCCAGACUUAUCGUGGUGAAAAAUGGAAGGGGCUCUCGUGAAAAUGUGUCGUUCCUGACGCGAAACUGCCGACCAACGGGCUAACCAAGAAAAUGCACAAUAUCUCGGCCGAUGCGCACGGAAGCCAAUAAAUAUGGAGAGGAGAGGGCUAUGACAAAGGAUGACGAAAAACGACUAGACAAAGGACAUUGACAUUCAAAAGCCAGACAAAACCCUUUUCUAGAUAAAAAGAAAGGAACGGAGACAGACAUUUGCGGAGUCGAGGAAUCCUCGGUAGACACCACUUGCUGAUUCGUGCACUAGCCCUGCGUCACGCUGUCUGGUCUGUACAGGCUUUAUUCCCUGAGAGCGCGACGUGUAUUGAUGGAAGUAGAGAGGCUCAACCUUCGAAAAGGAAAUGGACAAUUGAGAAAUGUUUUGUGAAUGCUCAAGUCCAAGGGAGUGCAGCAGUGUCUCUAUGAGGGUAAACAA